rnacentral:tRNA from 1 species
GCCGGGGUGGCGGAAUUGGUAGACGCAAGGGACUUAAAAUCCCUUGGGAGCUUGCUCCCGUGCCGGUUCGAUUCCGGCUCCCGGCACCA